rnacentral:rRNA from 1 species
UACAUGGGGUGCAAACGUUGCUCGGAAUUAUUGGGCGUAAAGGGUGCGUAGGCGGCACGGUAAGUCAGAGGUGAAAUCCCGGAGCUCAACUUCGGAAUUGCCUCCGAUACUGCCGUGCUUGAGGACUGGAGAGGAGAUUGGAAUUCACAGUGGAGCAGUGAAAUGCGUAGAUAUUGUGAGGAACACUAGUGGCGAAGGCGAAUCUCUGGACAGUUCCUGACGCUGAGGCACGAAGGCCAGGGGAGCAAACGGG